rnacentral:rRNA from 1 species
GUUGAAAGAUGGCUUCUCGCUAUCACUUACAGAUGGGCCCGCGGCGCAAUAGCUAGUUGGUGAGGUAACGGCUCACCAAGGCGACGAUGCGUAGCCCACCUGAGAGGGUGAUCGGCCACACUGGGACUGAAACACGGGCCAGACUCCUACGGGAGGCAGCAGUAAGGAAUCUUCCGCAAUGGACGAAAGUCUGACGGAGCAACGCCGCGUGAACGAUGAAGGUUUUCGGAUCGUAAAGUUCUGUUGUCAGGGAAGAACAAGUACCGUGCGAAUAGAGCGGUACCUUGACGGUACCUGACGAGGAACCCCCGGCUAACUACGUGCCAGCAGCCGCGGUAAUACGUAGGGGGCAAGCGUUGUCCGGAAUUAUUGGGCGUAAAGCGCGCGCAGGCGGUUCCUUAGGUCUGAUGUGAAAGCCCACGGCUCAACCGUGGAGGGUCAUUGGAAACUGGGGAACUUGAGUACAGAAGAGGAGAGUGGAAUUCCACGUGUAGCGGUGAAAUGCGUAGAUAUGUGGAGGAACACCAGUGGCGAAGGCGACUCUCUGGUCUGUAACUGACCCUGACGCGCGAAAGCGCGCGCAGCAAACAGGAUUAGAUACCCUGCUAGUCCACGCCAUACACGAUGAGUGCUACGUGUUAGGGGGCUUCCACCCCUUAGUGCUGACUUCACGCAUUAAGCACUCCGUCUGCCGAGUACG